rnacentral:rRNA from 1 species
AUUGAACGCUGGCGGCAGGCCUAACACAUGCAAGUCGAGCGGAUGACGGGAGCUUGCUCCUUGAUUCAGCGGCGGACGGGUGAGUAAUGCCUAGGAAUCUGCCUGGUAGUGGGGGACAACGUUUCGAAAGGAACGCUAAUACCGCAUACGUCCUACGGGAGAAAGCAGGGGACCUUCGGGCCUUGCGCUAUCAGAUGAGCCUAGGUCGGGUUAGCUAGUAGGUGAGGUAAUGGCUCACCUAGGCGACGAUCCGUAACUGGUCUGAGAGGAUGAUCAGUCACACUGAGACUGAGACACGGUCCAGACUCCUACGGGAGGCAGCAGUGGGGAAUAUUGGACAAUGGGCGAAAGCCUGAUCCGGCCAUGCCGCGUGUGUGAAGAAGGUCUUCGGAUUGUAAAGCACUUUAAGUUGGGAGGAAGGGCAGUAAGCUAAUACCUUGCUGUUUUGACGUUACCGACAGAAUAAGCACCGGCUAACUCUGUGCCAGCCGCCGCCGUAACAC